rnacentral:rRNA from 1 species
UACCGUGAAACUGCGAMUGGCUCAUUAAAUCAGUUAUCGUUUAUUUGAUAGUACCUACUUACUUGGAUAACCGUGGUAAUUCUAGAGCUAAUACAUGCCAAAAACCUCGACUUCGGAAGGGGUGUAUUUAUUAGAUAAAAAACCAAUGCCCUUCGGGGCUCCUUGGUGAUUCAUAAUAACUUAACGAAUCGUAUGGCCUUGCGCCGGCGAUGGUUCAUUCAAAUUUCUGCCCUAUCAACUUUCGAUGGUAGGAUAGUGGCCUACCAUGGUGGCAACGGGUAACGGGGAAUUAGGGUUCUAUUCCGGAGAGGGAGCCUGAGAAACGGCUACCACAUCCAAGGAAGGCAGCAGGCGCGCAAAUUACCCAAUCCCGAUACGGGGAGGUAGUGACAAUAAAUACUGAUGUGGAGCUCUUUAGGGUUUCACAAUUGGAAUGAGAAAAAUCUAAACCACUUAAACGAGGAACAAUUGGAGGGCAAGUCUGGUGCCAGCAGCCGCGGUAAUUCCAGCUCCAAUAGCGUAUAUUAAAGUUGUUGCAGUUAAAAAGCUCGUAGUUGAACCUUGGGCCUGGCCAGCUGGUCCGCCUCACCGCGUGCACUGGUUCGGCUGGGCCUUUCCUCCUGGGGAACCGCAUGCCCUUUACUGGGUGUGCCGGGGAAUCAGGCCUUUUACUUUGAAAAAAUUAGAGUGUUCAAAGCAGGCAUUUGCUCGAAUACAUUAGCAUGGAAUAAUAGAAUAGGACGUUGCGGUUCUAUUUUGUUGGUUUCUAGGACCGCCGUAAUGAUUAAUAGGGACGA